GCUGUGGUGUCCGAGUGGUUAAGGAGAUGGACUCGAAAUCCAUUGGGCUCUGCCCGCACAGGUUCGAAUCCUGUCCACAGCG
rnacentral:tRNA from 7 species